ensembl:snoRNA
AACCAAAGUGUUGAGUUCAGUUCAGGGUGUUGCCCCUGCUCUGGUAAUUAAACUUUGGGACAGUGCGUGACUGGGAAGCGCACCACGGUGGCUGAAGGUUUGUUUUAACCACCCGUGUUUCUCAGCCUACAAAC